GUGGGAGGGGGCUUGCCCCCGAUGACGGUGGAUCAGCCAGCUUAUGUCUAGCUGACCCACCGCUAUCGGGGGCAAGCCCCCUCCCAC
rnacentral:misc_RNA from 1 species